UGACUUGUCCUUGAGAUGGAUUCUGC
rnacentral:piRNA from 1 species